rnacentral:rRNA from 1 species
UACGUAGGGGCAAGCGUUAUCCGGAUUUACUGGGUGUAAAGGGAGCGCAUACGGAACUGCAAGUCUGAUGUGAAAGCCCGGGGCUCAACCGCGGGACUGCAUCGGAUACUGUAGAUCUGGAGUGCCGGAGGGGCAAGCGGAAUUCCUGGUGUAGCGGUGAAAUGCGUAGAUAUCAGGAGGAAUACCGAAGGCGAAGGCAGUCUUCCAAGCCGUUAUUGACGCUCAACUGCGAAGGUGUGGGGUAUCAAACAGGAUUAGAUACU